CCAAUGGAGUUUUUAGACUCCACAAAUAGUGUAAGGCCCCAAAUUU
rfam:Gossypium arboreum cultivar AKA8401 contig_11302_1, whole genome shotgun sequence.